rnacentral:misc_RNA from 1 species
GAUGAAGAACGUAGCGAAAUGCGAUAAGUAAUGUGAAUUGCAGAAUUCAGUGAAUCAUCGAAUCUUUGAACGCACCUUGCGCCCUUUGGCUAUUCCGAAGGGCAUGCCUGUUUGAGUAUCAUGAACACCUCAACUCUUCACGGCUUGCCGUGAUGAGUUUGGACUUUGGGGGUCUUGCUGGCCUACGAGCCAGCUCCUCUCAAAUGUAUUAGCUUGCCGGUGUUUGGUGGCAUCACAGGUGUGAUAACUAUCUACGCUUGUGGUUUUCCACUAGGUAACCUUCAGCAAUGGAGGUUCACCGGAGCUCACAAAUGUCUCUCCUUGCCAAGGACAGAUUUUGACCAUUUAAUCUCAAAUCAGGUAGGACUACCCGCUGAACUUAAGCAUAUCAAUAAGCGGAGGA